rnacentral:rRNA from 1 species
CCUACGGGUGGCUGCAGUAAGGAAUAUUGGUCAAUGGAGGCAACUCUGAACCAGCCAUGCCGCGUGCAGGAAGACGGCCCUCUGGGUUGUAAACUGCUUUUAUUCGGGAAUAAACCUACUUACGUGUAAGUAGCUGAAUGUACCGAAGGAAUAAGGAUCGGCUAACUCCGUGCCAGCAGCCGCGGUAAUACGGAGGAUCCAAGCGUUAUCCGGAUUUAUUGGGUUUAAAGGGUGCGUAGGCGGCCUGUUAAGUCAGGGGUGAAAGACGGUAGCUC